rnacentral:rRNA from 1 species
UACGGGGGGUGCGAGCGUUGUCCGGAAUCAUUGGGCGUAAAGCGCGCGUAGGCGGCCCCGUAAGUCCGCUGUGAAAGUCAAAGGCUCAACCUUUGAAAGCCGGUGGAUACUGUGGGGCUAGAGUCCGGAAGAGGCGAGUGGAAUUCCUGGUGUAGCGGUGGAAUGCGCAGAUAUCAGGAGGAACACCAAUAGCGAAGGCAGCUCGCUGGGACGGUACUGACGCUAAGGCGCGAAAGCGUGGGGAGCGAACAGG